rnacentral:lncRNA from 1 species
GGUUUAUUAUACCCCACGCAACGAAGUUGCGGAGGGUAUAAUGUUUUUGACCCGUCCGUCCGUCCGUCAGUUCGUCCGUCAGUCCUGUUUCUUGUCAUCGCAACUCCUCUCAAACCACACAACAGAAUUUCACGAAACCUUUUCAGAUAAUAAGGACAUACUAUGUAGUUGUGCAUAUCGACGGGAAAAUUGCGAUUUCAAUUUUUUUUUUCUAGGAGUUACGCCCCUUUGAACUUAUUUACUUUAAUGUAUUACUGCAACAGUUUGUCAUCGUAACUCCUCUCAAACCACACAACAGAAUUUCACGAAACCUUUUCAGAUAAUAAGGACAUACUAUGUAGUUGUGCAUAUCGACGGGAAAUUGCGAUUCAAUUUUUUUUCUAGGAGUUACGCCCCUUUGAACUUAUUUACUUUAAUGUACUUCUGCAACAGUUUGUCAUCUCAACUCCUCUGAAAACACAC